rnacentral:rRNA from 1 species
UAAUCCGGGAUAACGCUUUCAGCCUGGAGUGGCGAGAGCGUGAAAUGCUCCGGCGCUAUAGGAUGUGGCUGCGGCCGAUUAGGUAGACGGUGGGGUAACGGCCCACCGUGCCAGUAAUCGGUACGGGUUGUGAGAGCAAGAGCCCGGAGACGGUAUCUGAGACAAGAUACCGGGCCCUACGGGGCGCAGCAGGCGCGAAACCUUUACACUGCACGCGAGUGCGAUAAGGGGACUCCAGGUGCGAGGGCAUAUAGUCCUCGCUUUUCUCAACCGUAGGGAGGUUGAGGAACAAGUGCUGGGCAAGACCGGUGCCAGCCGCCGCGGUAAUACCGGCAGCACAAGUGAUGACCGCUGUUAUUGGGCCUAAAGCGUCCGUAGCUGGCCAGACAAGUUCAUCGGGAAAUCUGCGCGCCUAACGCACAGGUGUCC